GGGGAUGACAGGCUUCGCUAAGAAGAUUGUUGUUCCUUAAUUGCAUAUCGUGAUUGACGCGAUCACGUUAAACAGUGUCACUCCUUAAAUGGAAAAUCAAUUGCUUCACCCUACAAGGUGAACACUCUAGCAAUCGCGUAACAAACCUCGCGGCUAGUGCACCCUACCCUAAUGUUCAUACGGGGUAAUGGUGUAUCAUAACCUUUGAACUAGAUAGAUAGAGCUUUCUCCUCUAUCCACUCGAAGUACAGAAGAAUCGAGUAACUAUCGCUUUUGUUUAUCUUUUAGAUAACUUGCUCUAAAUAAAUUAAGGUAGACUAUAUAUGUAGACGUUAAGGGAUUUCCUUUUUACACGGCGGUUCGAUUCCGCCCAUCUCCACAU
rnacentral:tmRNA from 1 species